rnacentral:lncRNA from 1 species
AAACGUGCUGCCUAACAUACUUCGAAAAAAAGAGGGACUAUGCGUAUGUGGACUUUCUCUCGUUCAUAUCUGUCAUAAUAGGAGGAGCAAACAGGAGCAUCCAUUUUUUUCGUCCCCAUUAUUUAGUCCCAGAACAUGACCCCCACUGCAGACAUGACUAAGGACGUGUCUACUUGCAGGAAUCCCUUCAUUUAGACUGGAAGGUGGGGCUGAGCUCCAGCUGACUCCACAUUCGUUUUCCUAGAAGGAUUACAGACUGAAGAUCCAGUGAAGGGCCCUUUCCCAUUACAUAAUGGCUUCUUCUUUUUUUCCUAAAGAAGAUAAGAUCCCACGCCUACAGACAUGUUCACACAGACGAUGUGCAGACCUGUAACAGUGUCAAAUGUCAACCUUCGACCCUCCCAAACAGUUGGUGCUGCACUGCAUCAGCCAGCAUCACCACCAUGUCAAUUUAGCUAAGAGCAGUGCGGGAGCUGUGAAGACUUCACAUGAACGAGGACUCUCCCAUGGCAUCGGCUGAAAGGUCAGCCAGGCUCGUCUUAUUUACUUAAUGCAGCUCUUGAACUCUCUGAUGACGUCUGUCUUAUUAUAUCAAGGACCGCAGUGCCACCUACUGUACUGUGCACUAGUCUGUAAAGUCAGAACCUGACUGUCACUCAACAAUGUGUCAUUAAUAACACGCAUAUGAAAAAUUAAUUCAAUUAUAUUUAUUUGUCAGAUGCUUCCCAUAUACAAAAGAAACGAUUUUUGAGUCAGUGUCUUGAGACCCUGCAAAUGAUCCUCACUGUCCUCAAUUAAAAAUAUUAGGUAACACUUUAUUUAGAUAGUCUGCCUAACGAUUUCAACAGCUUCUUAGUAGAGAUUCAACAACUGUUUUCUGAUAUUACACCCCUGUGAUUAAGGUUUGGUUAGAUUUAGGGACUAAAUACAUCUUGGUCUAUUUAAUGAGAAAACUCCUUUUUUGG